CCUACGGGGGACAGCAGUGGGGAAUAUUGCGCAAUGGGCGAAAGCCUGACGCAGCGACGCCGCGUGAGGGAUGAAGGUCUUCGGAUCGUAAACCUCUGUCAGCAGGGAAGAACGGUCACUGUGCUAAUCAGCAGUGAAUUGACGGUACCUGCAAAGGAAGCACCGGCUAACUCCGUGCCAGCAGCCGCGGUAAUACGGAGGGUGCGAGCGGUAAUCGGAAUUACUGGGCGUAAAGCGCUCGUAGGCGGUAUGUCAAGUCAAGGGUGAAAGCCCCGCGCUCAACGUGGGAACUGCCUUUGAAACUGGCAAACUGGAGUGUGUGAGAGGAUAGUGGAAUGCCAGGUGUAGGAGUGAAAUCCGUAGAUAUCUGGAGGAACAUCGGUGGCGAAGGCGACUAUCUGGCACAUAACUGACGCUGAGGAGCGAAAGCGUGGGUAGCAAACAGGAUUAGAUACCCUUGUAGUC
rnacentral:rRNA from 1 species